UAAUGACCACUAAAAGAAUUAAAAAUAAUAUAAAAGUAAAGAUUUGUUUAUUUUAUGACAUUCAGUCCCAUCGUCUCUCCAAAACCCUAAGACCUCCCCUUUUUCAUACCAAAGCUUCUAUCUAUGCUAUUCCAAUGACAUUUUUUCACUAGUUCUGUCAAUUAAACUAAUGAUUUGUUUCGCCCAUUACUAAUUUAUGUCGUUGUGUUCUGUUUUAUUCACUUCCUAUUUUCCUAAUCAUAAUACAGUUUAUUUUCUACUUAUACGCAAUACCCGUUUUUUUCUCAAGAGGGAAAGUAGGUGGUUGGGUCUUUCUUUGUGGGUGUUUUUCAGUUAGAUUUGGUACAUGUCACAAGAAACAGAGUUUUCAUAGAUCAGAGGGAAUUGUAUUUUAUUUUUCGAAAAUUUAUGGAAUGAUGGAAAAUGGGUGUUAAAUGAUAGAAUGAGGACAUUAUUAUAUGAGAAGGGAGUGAAACAAAUUCCGCUCUCUAAGCAUCAAUUCGUCCCCCUGUUAGGAUCUACGGUUUUGGAAAUUUUCAUUUACAAGUCGGGAUGCAAGUUUGAAGACUUUGAACAAGAUUUGUCAAAUUGGUCAUCCUUUCGCUUGGAUAGUUCGCUAAAUAUCUCAUUAUAUAUUUAGAGAUGUUCGUUUUUUUGGCUAAUGAGUUGUGUAAAUAGUAUUGUGACCAUAUUUUUGCAAACAAUACUCCAUGUGGGAUGUUAAUUUGUAGUUUUAAGUAAUACGAUUGAUAAUUUUGUUUA